ACAUCCGGACAAUCGCUGCCUUAGGGUAGAGGAAAGUCCAUGCUCGCACCAUCUGAGAUGAUGGUAGUGAUUGUGCUAAACGAAACCAUAAGUUUAGGCAGAGACAUCUGACGGCUGGCGAUACUUCUAAGUGGAAACAUAUGAAGGUAGCCUUUAAAAGUGCCACAGUGACGUAGUCCUAGAAGAAAUUUUAGGAGUGGAACGGGUAAACCCCACAAGCGAGAAACCCAAAUUUGGUAGGGGC
rnacentral:RNase_P_RNA from 1 species